rnacentral:rRNA from 1 species
GUCCACACCGUAAACGUUGGGCGCUAGGUGUGGGGCUCAUUCCACGAGUUCCGUGCCGCAGCUAACGCAUUAAGCGCCCCGCCUGGGGAGUACGGCCGCAAGGCUAAAACUCAAAGGAAUUGACGGGGGCCCCGCACAAGCGGCGGAGCAUGCGGAUUAAUUCGAUGCAACGCGAAGAACCUUACCUGGGUUUGACAUAUGCCGGAAACACUCAGAGAUGGGUGCCCUUUUAGUCGGUAUACAGGUGGUGCAUGGCUGUCGU